AUGGACGAAAGUCUGACGGAGCAACGCCGCGUGAACGAUGAAGGCUUUCGGGUCGUAAAGUUCUGUUGUCAGGGAAGAACAAGUACCGGAGUAACUGCCGGUACCUUGACGGUACCUGACCAGAAAGCCACGGCUAACUACGUGCCAGCAGCCGCGGUAAUACGUAGGUGGCAAGCGUUGUCCGGAAUUAUUGGGCGUAAAGCGCGCGCAGGCGGUUCCUUAAGUCUGAUGUGAAAGCCCCCGGCUCAACCGGGGAGGGUCAUUGGAAACUGGGGAACUUGAGUGCAGAAGAGGAGAGCGGAAUUCCACGUGUAGCGGUGAAAUGCGUAGAGAUGUGGAGGAACACCAGUGGCGAAGGCGGCUCUCUGGUCUGUAACUGACGCUGAGGCGCGAAAGCGUGGGGAGCAAACAGGAUUAGAUACCCUGGUAGUCCACGCUGUAAACGAUGAGUACUAGGUGUGGGGGGCGAAGCCCUCUGUGCCGCAGUUAACACAAUAAGUACUCCGCCUGGGAAGUAC
rnacentral:rRNA from 1 species